UUUAAAAAUAAGAAUGUCUUUAUACUGAUCAUAUCAUAUUUUCUCUUAAAAACAACCAUGGUUCGUAUCUGAAAUUUUCUAAUAUUGCUUUAUGAUUUGACUCUUUAAUAUCCGCUUUAAAAUGCUUUUGUUCAAAUGAAAGCAGUCCUAGAAGUGUGACCUUGGUGUUAAAUGUUAAAAGGUGUUACUAGUUAAAUUCCAAAAACAUUUCAUUAACCUUAAAACCCUGCAAGAAGGUUGUUUUCGCAACCGUGUAACUGAAAAAUUAAUGAGUUUCUUUAUUAAUUAUCUAAUCAACAAUUGUUGGGUAAUCCUUAAACUUUACCUAAAAUUCUAAAAAGGUGAAAGAAAACAUUUGAAGAUAUUUACAUACUGGAAAGAUCGAAAGAUAUUAUAUCUUUGGGAAAAUAACUCUGAAGUUUUCCCCAUGAAAUCUUCCACUGACUGUAGAAAUUGAUUCACAUAUCUCUUUUUAAAUCCUUGCAAAUUCAAAGUAUUAAGAUUUCUGAAAAAAAAAAAAGAACUCUGUCUUCAGAUAUUCUUUUUUUAAAAUUUCAGGAAAUUGUUCAGACUUGCAGGCAGUUUUAUAAUUAAGAUUGCUUUCUUUUUUUUUUAUCAAUUUUCUUUUCUCUCCCACUCUGUCUUUAUUUAAAUAAAAUUGUGGGAAAAAAUGUUAAAUUAUAAUAAAAUUUGAAAUAAAAGAAGUUGACAUAGUACACAUAAAUACUCACACGUACAGUCUUAGAGUGACAGCUGCAAAUGCCUAAAGCACCCUUGCACAUUCAUGUACACUUGUAGACAUUUGUGAUGACAAGUUUUAAAAAGGUUAGAUUAACAACUACUCAGAUUCACAAAGUAGUCAUCCACAGGUUAAGAAAAGUCAUGGAAGUUUGUCAUCACAACAUACAUACAUAUAUUUACAUAUGUUGAUGAAUACAUAUAUGUAAUAUGAAAUUUGCUUAGCAACCACUUGGUUCUGGGUUCAGUUCCCCUGUGUGUUAUCUUGAGCAAGUGUCUUCUACUCUAACCUUAGAGAACCACAGCCUCUUGUGAAUGUAGUUUGGGAGGUGGAGACAGUGUGGACAUCCAUUGGAUGUAUACAUGUGUGUGUGUGUGUGUGUCUGCAUUAGAUAACAAUAUUGGGAUGUCAAAAAUACCUUGUGUAAUGUAUUUCAGUUUUGUCAAAAACAUCCAAUCAAUUUUGUCUUUCAUCCCCUUCCAAAGUUGAUAUAAUUGACUAAAACCCUUUGAAUCAGUGGCCCAACAUAGCCACAGUUCACCUAUUGAAACCUAUAUAAACACAAUACACACAUAUAUCAAUUUGGUAUCAUAAUUAUUCUUAGCAAGGUAUUUUUCUCUAAGAGAGCUCAACUAAUGUUCAUAUAUAUCAUGAAAUAUUUGGGGUUGCACCAUAAGUUUAGACACUGAAAAUGAAAAGAAAGAGUUAACUUCUGGUACAAGAUAUAAAGGAAAUAAGCAUGAAUAUCUGACAAUUUUCCAUAUAAAGAAAUAAUGAUCGUUUUCAUUGGUGCAAGACCAAAAUAUGUAACAAAAUAAUGCUAUUGAACAGAUUGAGUUUGCCUUACUCAGAAAUAUAAUUAAACUUUAUAAAAUCAGGGAAAUAUUUCUUUUGUAUAAUUUGAUUUAACCAAAAAAUAAAGAAAAUUUUUUUUUAAAUGAAAAUAUUACAAUUAAAGGAUAGAUGAAAUGUGACUAACUUUGUAACAGUUAUUGUGAUGAGUUAAUAAACUUGUGUGAAAUCUGU